UAAAAGCGGAAAAGACCGGUAUGUUUAUCCACACACACACACAUUCAUAUAAAUGUACUGUUGCUAUAUUGUCGAGCAAUAAAAAUGCGAAAAAAGAAAAGAAAGAAGAAAUCAAACUUUCCUACGGGCUAUGGGCGGCUCGACGCUUAUGACUCUGUCAAAAUUUCCAUAAGCAUGCUGAUGACUGAUAUGAGUAUGUAGGCUUCCAACACUUUCGUGUAAACAUACACAUGAUUCGCAUAAAAAAGUCACUCUCCAGCAAUAGUUAGCGCCAAAAUACAAAGCACGAUUUUCCCGUGUCAUUUUUGCGGAGCAAAUUCCAAAUGAUUUUUUGAAUCAUACGCGUGAGAUUAGUUCGCACAUUGUGCGCCAAAAGCCAUACAUACAUACAUACAUACAUAGAGACAUAGCUGAGAGCAGAGCAGCGUAAGAACAAAAACGCGGUAGCAUGCUCAGGGUUAAAUAUAAAAACAUCGCGACAAAUCUGCACAUUAGUUAUAUAUACUCGUACAACGCAACCACCUUCAGCGCGCGUUGAACACUCGGUGCAGUCCCGUCUUGGCCGCUUGUAUUUCGAAAAUCAUAUAAAAUUUAAUAUAUUUUGUACGAUAUAAUAAAAUAUCAUCAACCUUUAGUAUAUAUACAACAACAGCAAUAAACAAUAAAAUUACUAAAUAGCGCCGAGACUAGACACACGAGUGAUUUUUGCAAUAACUGCAGUUAAACAAAAGAUACACGGAUAAUAAAAUAGAAAACAAGCAAAUUAUAUAAAGAAGUAAAAUCGGAAUUUAGCAAACAAAUUCGUAUUUUCUACGGUAGCGGUGAGCAAACUUUGAACGGCACAUUUUAGUAGCUGAAAAUAUUUCGAGAAAAAAUAUACACCGUGUGGCAGAGGAAGGCAAAUAUUAAUUUGGGCAAGUGGUGAACGUGAACGUCGUCUCGAGCAACACCACAAGUGAUUGAACAGUCAAAUAGCGCCACAGCAAUUGAAUAACUUGAAGCACCUGAGCCAGAAAAAAAAAUACAACAAAAAAGACACAUACACGAGUGUAUAAUUAAUUAGCAGAGAUUAGUUGUAUACAUUAC